AUUGAACGCUGGCGGCAUGCUUUACACAUGCAAGUCGAGCGGCAGCGCGGGGGCAACCCUGGCGGCGAGCGGCGAACGGGUGAGUAAUGCAUCGGGACGUGUCCGGGAGUGGGGGAUAACCCGCCGAAAGGCGGGCUAAUACCGCAUAUGCUCUACGGAGGAAAGGGGGGGACCGCAAGGCCUCCUGCUCUCGGAGCGGCCGAUGUCCGAUUAGCUAGUUGGUGGGGUAAUGGCUUACCAAGGCGACGAUCGGUAGCUAGUCUGAGAGGAUGAUCAGCCACACUGGGACUGAGACACGGCCCAGACUCCUACGGGAGGCAGCAGUGGGGAAUUUUGGACAAUGGGGGGCAACCCUGAUCCAGCCAUGCCGCGUGCGGGAAGAAGGGCCCUUCGGGUUGGUUAAACCGG
rnacentral:rRNA from 1 species